UGUCCUCCAUAGGAGGUCUAUAUUGAGCAGAUUCUUUUUGGUAUUGGGUGGUGGAACUGGAGCGUGCUCCAUCCACUCCAUGCAUUGACCUGGUAUUCCAGUGCUUCCAGGACCGGUGC
rnacentral:snRNA from 1 species